rnacentral:rRNA from 1 species
GGGUCAGUAGGUUGGUCGUGCCUCCGGUACGUACUGGUCUCACUGAUUCCUCCUUCCUGAAGAACCGUAAUGCCAUUAAUUUGGUGUUGCGGGGAAGCAGGACUGUUACUUUGAAAAAAUUAGAGUGUUUAAAGCAAGCUAACGCUUGAAUACAUUAGCAUGGAAUAAUGAAAUAGGACGAUCAAUCCUAUUUUGUUGGUUUCUAGGAUUGACGUA